UUGUGUUCGGCCUGUCACUGUCUGCGUCUGGUAUUCUAGCUGAUAGUUGUUGAUUAUUCCACUUAUCUUUGUCAUGUUUUCAGAUCUUUCCAAGAGAAAUGGAGCUUUUUUUAUUGCUAGCUGGAAGAGUCAUUGUCCACUGCUAUACCUUCUUAUCCUUUUUUUGCUGGCUAAACAGAAUCACGUAUUUGAUCUUUGCAGGGCGGAUGGCAAAUUGACAGAGACGCAAUGACAGCGAGACAGAUCAUGGAUAUAUACCGGUGGCUGCAUUUCACCAUCAUCCCCCUCCACGGCUCCCAUGGGCUUGACUGCAGCACCUCUACACAUAUUAUCCGAUUCCCAUGGCCAUCUCUGGACACAGAAAAGGAUGAGCAAUGCCUUGUGGCAGCGGCACCGGUAGGGAGCCCCGGUGAAUCAGCUUCAGAGACAAGAUCGGACACACAGCCAUGGCAUGCUGCCAUUCUCUGUACUCCGAGCCGAACCGUGCAUGAACAGCACGGGCCACCAUCGCUGGCGCAGAGAUUGGCUGCGUAGGUGAUUGAGGACAUGUGAUGUGUGGGGACGCGGCAAGUUGCGCUGCCGCUACAGAACUGCGUGCACCAAGCCACCAAAGCAUUGUGGGGUUCAGUGUUUGUAUGUGAGCCGUCUAAAGGAACAGGUCGGCAAAUGGCACUGGCCGUUUGCCAUGUGAGCUAACUGUUGUCGGGCGAGGAGAAGACGGCUGCAGGACGACGGCGGUUUUCCGGUGAACUGUGGGCCGGUACACAUGCAUGCAUAUGGAUCGGAGCUGCUGAUGCUAUGCACAAAAGGUCACAGGAUUUUCGGGGUUGCAUGCAGGAAAACGAUAUGAGAUAAUGAAUGUCGUGGCCAAGGCCAAGGCUCACAUGAUAACGGUGAUCCUUGUCCUCCCACAGCCGCAUGAGCUGCUGCAUUAUGAUCGUUAUCCGGUACUGGGAAUUUAUGAGGCUUUGUCACUUUCUGAACAAGCUGGCAAGUCCAUUCCCGUUGGAAAAAAAAGAAAAACAAAUGAAAAUCAUGGUAUUUCCUCCCCUACAUUAUUACAUAUGCCAGGCUUAAAUUAGCUAAGACGGUGGAAGAACGAAAAAUCUGAUGAUUGGGCAUAUAUGGCACCGAAGGGCAGGCCAUGCUAGAUUUCUCGGCCUGCAGUGAAUAUACUCCGGAGAUUGGGCUGGGCCUAAACAUUAUCUACAGAAAGGGUCAAUAGCAUACUCUCUCUAGUCUCUAGCAAGAAAAAAAGCCCAGCAAGGCAGCACCCAGAAGUUGAGUUCUUAAAUUCUAAUCCCGCGUUUGCAGAAGUUGAGAAAGAUGGUCGCCUUCUGCUGAGUGCUGACGAGAGAUGCGCACUGCUUCGCAUCAAAAUGAAGUACUUCCUGAAGCUGUUGGUUUCACGAGCUUCCAACAGGCCAGGGGGAAAUACCUAUGGGGCGCAAUAGGUACACUUUCACAUCCAUUUCCCAGUAUUUUGUUCCCUUCAAGCGCAAAUAGGGAAAUGGUCACGAGCUCUGCAGCUAAACAAAGUUCAGAACCUUUCCAUCAGCAAUUCCACAAAGAAAAGGGAUGGCAAAGUUCCAAGCCUAACAAAAAUCACAAAAAAGAUGCAGAACCUUACUGCUAGACAGCUAGAGAGUCCGUGAUGAGCUGAGCUCAGUGCUGCACUGCUGCCUAUAUGGAUGGAUAGUACAGCAGACAUGUUGGCAGACGCGAUGGAGAAAGAAACAUGCAUGCGAGUGCUGUGGAUCCUGGAAAGGGAGCCAAAAGGAGGCGGGCGUGAUCCACAAAUCCCAAUAAAAGCGUAGCAGUUGAGAGUGAGGUCAUGCAAAAGUGACCAAUCCUUGUCCUCUUCGAUCAAGAGCACCUGUCGACCUCAAUGAUGCCAUUCAUAUGUUCGUUUACAGUGGUAAAAAAAGCUCGUGACAGUUCAGUUCAUUUAAAAGAUUGCAAUGAAGAAUGAACAGUGACGCCGGCAACUUGCACCCGCAGCAUCUUGAUACUACAAGUUUAGGGACUAUGGAUUGAUUGCGAUGAUUCCCUCCUCCCGUGCAAAAGAUCGCAGAAGAUGUUGGUGAUUUUGGGGAUAUAUUUCGACCGGGUUCAGGACACCAGGACAGCCCUGGCGAAGGGAAUCUCUCCCCGUUUCUGAAAGCGCAUCAGUGCUGUGCUGAUCGAUGAUGGAUGGCAUUCUACUACACGGGCUGGUGACGUGAUACCCGGCCUAUCCAAAGCUCUCUGACAUCAGUGAUGCAAUUCUGCCCCAAUGUCCCGAUGCAAUUGCCCAUCAGGUGUGAGGUGCCCAUGGCUCUGCCCGAUGGUUCGUGGCUCUGCCGGGUGGCCAAGACGCAGCUGAUGCGAUUUUUUGGAGUUUCGGUGCAGCCGCAUGAAGCUCGAGGUUUCCACCAUGGCCUUCUGGGCGAGACAUGCGGCGAUGUGCUGCCCUCAGUGGUGGUGGUUGGGUACAAACUAGAGCUCCGAAACUAGAUAAUUCUUUCGAGUCUUACAUG